rnacentral:lncRNA from 1 species
AGGAAGUGCUGUCCCCUCAGUGAUAUUUCUGAGCUUCAUUAGUUAAAUAGUAGAAAAACAAUCCAUGCAAACAAUUAGGGAAACAUUGUUAUUUUAAAUAUGAAGGGAUAAAAUUUUCUCUUAAAAAAGAACAGUAAGAAAAAAGUGAUGUUUAAGAGUUAAUUGGAUCUAACAACUUAAAUAAAUUCCCUCUGUCAAAAAACCAGUUACUUUCUUAAUUAGAAGACAUUUCACAUGACUUGAUUAAAAAGUGAGUUUUGUUCUCUUAUUAAAUUAAUUUACACUUUCUGGGGAUUAAUGAAGGGAGAAGAAACAAUUAUAAAAUGAGUAAAGUUUAGAAUGUCUUCAGUAAACACUGUUAAGUAAUUUUUACAUUUUGUCUACAGAAAACCAGUCUAUCCAAGACCAGGCACCUAUGUUGGAAGGUCCUCAGAAUGGUUGGAAUGACCCUCCAGCUUUGAACAGAGUACCCAAAAAGAAGAAGAUGCCUGAAAACUUCAUGCCUCCUGUUCCCAUCACAUCACCAAUCAUGAACCCGUUGGGUGACCCCCAGUCACAAAUGCUGCAGCAACAGCCUUCAGCUCCAGUACCACUGUCAAGCCAGUCUUCAUUCCCAC